UUCAGUAUUUUUAAAAAAAAUAAUGGCAGCUAUUAAAUUUUAUGGCUCAUUUUGACGCUCGUUUCAGUGCGUCUUGAAAAUGUGGACAUCUGCAAAUUAGUUUGGAGGACGGUGAUAUUGGGAAGGACGUUUCACCAAUUCAGGGAUUAAUAAUAUUUUAAAAGGCUUUUUUUUUGUCUGUAAGGAAUGCUUUUUUGGAGCGUUGGGUUUUGCAGUUAAGCUUGUGGAAAGAGCAUUCGUAAUUAAGAGCAUUCGUUAUUUUAAUUUUCAAAAACAUGAAAAACUUAGUUUAAUUGCCCUGAAAUUUAAACAAAAUAUAUAUAAAACGUUUUCUCUAGGUUAUAAAGGGUGUUUUUUUUUAAAAUAAAAGUGUGAACGGUCUCGAGUGUCCACGUGGAGUCGAGACUUUUGUGCCAGUUCCUGGGCCCACGUUUUUGAUUUUGUUUUCAUUUUCAAAAAGCAUCAGUUAGGGCUUGUGAAGGUUGUCUCUGAUGGUUGAAUUUUACUCUUUAUUUUCUUGUUUGAUGCAGAGUUGCUGGUUACAGACGUGGUGGAUUGUUUCAGAAUAUGGGGGUGAUAGGCCACAGGCCAGAUCCUGUAUGUUGCCCAGGUUCCAGCCUCCUAAGAUUGAUGACUGGGACAUCUCGGGAUCCUGACUUUGCAUUGUGACCAGGUUUGGAGAGGUGACCUAGGACUCGAAGCGUUGCUGAGUGGCUCUGAGG